GACCUCGGAUCAGGUAGGGAUACCCGCUGAACUUAAGCAUAUCAAUAAGCGGAGGAAAAGAAACCAACAGGGAUUGCCUCAGUAACGGCGAGUGAAGCGGCAACAGCUCAAAUUUGAAAUCUGGCUCUUUCGGGGCCCGAGUUGUAAUUUGUAGAAGAUGCUUUGGGUGUAGCUCCGGUCUAAGUUCCUUGGAACAGGACGUCAUAGAGGGUGAGAAUCCCGUAUGUGACUGGGUGCUUUCGCUCGUGUAAAGCUCUUUCGACGAGUCGAGUUGUUUGGGAAUGCAGCUCAAAAUGGGUGGUAAAUUUCAUCUAAAGCUAAAUAUUGGCCAGAGACCGAUAGCGCACAAGUAGAGUGAUCGAAAGAUGAAAAGCACUUUGGAAAGAGAGUUAAACAGUACGUGAAAUUGUUGAAAGGGAAGCGC
rnacentral:rRNA from 1 species